CGCGUAGGGAUAACACAGCGAGUAACACCGCGACGGGCAAAUGUAGCUCGCGUGGGCUCACCACCCUCUUCGCAUUUUUUGCAUGUAAUCAAGAGUCGAGAAUAAGGCUGUUGCGAGGCGAGGCAGAGAGAUGAGGGAAAAUGACAGAAUUACGUUAUGUUUUUUAUUGAUAUUAGCGUUAUGUACGAGAGUAUAUUCGGCGGACGCCAGGCACAUAAUUACCAAGAGAAAUUACAGUGACCAAAGUGUAAGGGGCUAUCUAGCCGAGAGGAUCUGCUGGUGGAACGAAGUGUGCAAGGAAGAAUUUCACAGUAAAUUCCGGUGUCGCUGCCCGAGAUGGUCCUAUUGCCGUGCACCAGGAAGAUAUUACGACGCGCAUUGCAGUAUGACACGCACAGGCUACAUAUGGACCCAACCGGAAACACCGUUGAGUCUCGAAAUCGAUAAAUAAACGACGCUACGAGUGCCAGCCCUGCAAAGAAAGAAAGGUGAAUUAAAAAGAAUCGAUAAGAAUCCAUUUCGCAAAGUCGCGAAAUAAAGGAUGGCAAUACGAUGGAAAUCAAAUAUCUCCCGUUUAAAAUCAAAAUCGGUGCUCGUUAGAGUUUCGCAGAUUUCACCGGUUAAAACAUGGCACAAUUGUUCUAAAGGUAAUUUUUUAUUAACAGCUUUGCUUAAAAAGAAGACGAGAACAUUAUUCAAAGAAUGGUAUUCUUCGAAGACAUUUGGAUUUCGAAGAAUAAUGUGAUAGCUGUAUUAUUAGCGCAUUGACGAACACUUGCUGCCAAGAAUUUAUAAUUGCUGUAUUAUAUUAAACUCGUUAUGGUCGUAUAUGGUUGCUAUUAAUAAAGCUCUGAUGGAGUAAU